AUUGAACGCUGGCGCCAGGCCUAACACAUGCAAGUCGAGCGGAUGAAGGGAGCUUGCUCCUGGAUUCAGCGGCGGACGGGUGAGUAAUGCCUAGGAAUCUGCCUGGUAGUGGGGGAUAACGUCCGGAAACGGGCGCUAAUACCGCAUACGUCCUGAGGGAGAAAGUGGGGGAUCUUCGGACCUCACGCUAUCAGAUGAGCCUAGGUCGGAUUAGCUAGUUGGUGGGGUAAAGGCCUACCAAGGCGACGAUCCGUAACUGGUCUGAGAGGAUGAUCAGUCACACUGGAACUGAGACACGGUCCAGACUCCUACGGGAGGCAGCAGUGGGGAAUAUUGGACAAUGGGCGAAAGCCUGAUCCAGCCAUGCCGCGUGUGUGAAGAAGGUCUUCGGAUUGUAAAGCACUUUAAGUUGGGAGGAAGGGCAGUAAGUUAAUACCUUGCUGUUUUGACGUUACCAACAGAAUAAGCACCGGCUAACUUCGUG
rnacentral:rRNA from 1 species